AUUGCACAUAUAUAAACAAAGGCUGUAAUUUACAUGGCAGAUCCUAUGAAAGCUUAUCUAGCACAUGACAUCACACCCAUAAAUUACAACUUAAAGCACCUGUGCCAAACUGCUCCCACCCCAAAAUGAACGUGAUUAAUAUCAUCUGCUCACCCAUGCCUAUGCCUCUUGGGAAUAAACACACAUGAAGUACCUCCCAAGACAGAAUAGUAUUUAAAGAUUCUUCAGACAAUGAGAAGAUUUAUAAUUAUUAUCGCAUUGCAUCAUCACAAAGCCUUAAACAAAUCAAGCUGCCUCAUCAUAUGACACCUAAGAUAAUACAAGGUUAAACAGCAUCAAGCAGUAUCGGUUAACUUCACUUGUAUGGAAGGGCAAAUAUCCCCCAGCCCCUGGGCACAGGGAUCUUCAGCCUCACAGCUAUUAUUAAACAGCAAGUUAGACAAGCAAAAGCAAAACACACGGAUUUCUUUGAACAGGCCCAGAACCAGAAUUUUUCCAUUGAAAUCCAACCAGCCAGGGCGCAGGGAAAGUGAAGGGCAGGCGAAUGGGGAACUGAAUAAGGUGAGGGACGUGUUUCAGCAUCUCUCAGCUUUAGUUCACUGGUCCAUGAUCAGCUUGGGAGAAAUCAGAGGCGGUAUCAGGAGCUAACAUUACACUGCCUAUCGAUCACAGCCAGCUUUCCACAGCACACAACAGAAUUCCUCCUCUGGACCGAUGCUAGCCGAGGAGGCUGCCUUAUGGCACAAUUGGCAGACAAGGCAGGCAUCAGCCGACUCUAACCAAAACACGCCUGAAUACCUUCGUAAGGCAAAACCAGCCAAGUAUCUCUGCUCCAGGCAUAAAUAUCCGCUCCUCCGAGGCGGCAGCUACCCAAACAAUCGCUGGUUACCGCGGUGCCCCUCGCUCCGCCCGCCCGGGGCACUGCCCCCGCGGCAGGCCCUGCGCCGGAGCGGGGCUCUGCCCGCGCCAGCCGGGAUUGUGCCGUCCCCAUCACGCUCUGCCCGCACCGGAUUCCCAUUUCUGCGCGUUAUUACCAAUGUGACAUCACCCCAGAGCAAGCCCAGCCUGACAUCUACAGUUAACUCGGCGAUGGUAGGCAGAGUUUUUUAUGAAAACAACUGAAAAACUGGAGAUGGAGGUGAGGCCUCUUUGAAGAUUGGGUUAUAAAAGCUGUCUCAGACUGUUCCUGCCAGGAAGUGCUGCCAUGUGAACUAGAGAGACUCCAGCAAGCCUACAUCCUUUUCAUACUUACAGUUUUACUGUCAUCCAAUAAACCAGGCAGAAAUUAAUUACUUUUUGCUGCACUGGAAAUCACUACCAGAAAGGUGCAUGUAAACAACAUCAAGACAUUCCAGAAGAUGGAAUAUUUUCAACUCUAGGUUGAUAACUGUGAAGUUUGGCCAACUUUGUUUUUCUCCA